UCCUCAGGCAGCAGCAACGCGGAGGAAACGGGAGUGAACGGAGAGCUUAGUGACCAUCAUGAGCCUCCUCAACAAGCCCAAGAGUGAGAUGACCCCAGAGGAGCUGCAGAAGCGAGAGGAGGAGGAAUUUCACACGGGUCCACUCUCUGUGCUCACACAGUCAGUCAAGAAUAACACCCAAGUGCUCAUCAACUGUCGCAACAAUAAGAAACUCCUGGGCCGGGUGAAGGCCUUCGAUAGGCACUGCAGCAUGGUGCUGGAGAACGUGAAGGAGAUGUGGACUGAAGUCCCUAAGAGCGGCAAGGGAAAGAAGAAAUCCAAGCCAGUCAACAAAGACCGCUACAUCUCCAAGAUGUUCCUGCGCCAGGACUCGGUCGUCGUGGUCCUGCGGAACUCGCUCAUUGCCGGCAAGUAGGGGCUGCCUAUCCAUCGACAGAACUCACUCUCCUGUCCUAUGAAGACCGCUGCCAUUAGUGUUGAAAAUAAUAAAGCUCUGCGUUUUUUUCUAAAAAAAAAAAGAAAAAAAAA